AACGCUGGCGGCAGGCCUAACACAUGCAAGUCGAACGGUAACAGGAAGAAGCUUGCUUCUUUGCUGACGAGUGGCGGACGGGUGAGUAAUGUCUGGGAAACUGCCUGAUGGAGGGGGAUAACUACUGGAAACGGUAGCUAAUACCGCAUAACGUCGCAAGACCAAAGAGGGGGACCUUCGGGCCUCUUGCCAUCGGAUGUGCCCAGAUGGGAUUAGCUAGUAGGUGGGGUAACGGCUCACCUAGGCGACGAUCCCUAGCUGGUCUGAGAGGAUGACCAGCCACACUGGAACUGAGACACGGUCCAGGCUCCUACGGGAGGCAGCAGUGGGGAAUAUUGCACAAUGGGCGCAAGCCUGAUGCAGCCAUGCCGCGUGUAUGAAGAAGGCCUUCGGGUUGUAAAGUACUUUCAGCGGGGAGGAAGGGAGUAAAGUUAAUACCUUUGCUCAUUGACGUUACCCGCAGAAGAAGCACCGGCUAACUCCGUGCCAGCAGCCGCGGUAAUACGGAGGGUGCAAGCGUUAAUCGGAAUUACUGGGCGUAAAGCGCACGCAGGCGGUUUGUUAAGUCAGAUGUGAAAUCCCCGGGCUCAACCUGGGAACUGCAUCUGAUACUGGCAAGCUUGAGUCUCGUAGAGGGGGGUAGAAUUCCAGGUGUAGCGGUGAAAUGCGUAGAGAUCUGGAGGAAUACCGGUGGCGAAGGCGGCCCCCUGGACGAAGACUGACGCUCAGGUGCGAAAGCGUGGGGAGCAAACAGGAUUAGAUACCCUGGUAGUCCACGCCGUAAACGAUGUCGACUUGGAGGUUGUGCCCUUGAGGCGUGGCUUCCGGAGCUAACGCGUUAAGUCGACCGCCUGGGGAGUACGGCCGCAAGGUUAAAACUCAAAUGAAUUGACGGGGGCCCGCACAAGCGGUGGAGCAUGUGGUUUAAUUCGAUGCAACGCGAAGAACCUUACCUGGUCUUGACAUCCACGGAAGUUUUCAGAGAUGAGAAUGUGCCUUCGGGAACCGUGAGACAGGUGCUGCAUGGCUGUCGUCAGCUCGUGUUGUGAAAUGUUGGGUUAAGUCCCGCAACGAGCGCAACCCUUAUCCUUUGUUGCCAGCGGUCCGGCCGGGAACUCAAAGGAGACUGCCAGUGAUAAACUGGAGGAAGGUGGGGAUGACGCCAAGUCAUCAUGGCCCUUACGACCAGGGCUACACACGUGCUACAAUGGCGCAUACAAAGAGAAGCGACCUCGCGAGAGCAAGCGGACCUCAUAAAGUGCGUCGUAGUCCGGAUUGGAGUCUGCAACUCGACUCCAUGAAGUCGGAAUCGCUAGUAAUCGUGGAUCAGAAUGCCACGGUGAAUACGUUCCCGGGCCUUGUACACACCGCCCGUCACACCAUGGGAGUGGGUUGCAAAAGAAGUAGGUAGCUUAACCUUCGGGAGGGCGCUUACCACUUUGUGAUUCAUGACUGGGG
rnacentral:rRNA from 1 species